GACGAACGCUGGCGGCGUGCUUAACACAUGCAAGUCGAACGGAAAGGCCCUGCUUUUGUGGGGUGCUCGAGUGGCGAACGGGUGAGUAACACGUGAGUAACCUGCCCUUGACUUUGGGAUAACUUCAGGAAACUGGGGCUAAUACCGGAUAGGAGCUCCUGCUGCAUGGUGGGGGUUGGAAAGUUUCGGCGGUUGGGGAUGGACUCGCGGCUUAUCAGCUUGUUGGUGGGGUAGUGGCUUACCAAGGCUUUGACGGGUAGCCGGCCUGAGAGGGUGACCGGCCACAUUGGGACUGAGAUACGGCCCAGACUCCUACGGGAGGCAGCAGUGGGGAAUAUUGCACAAUGGGCGGAAGCCUGAUGCAGCAACGCCGCGUGCGGGAUGACGGCCUGCGGGUUGUAAACCGCUUGCGCCGGUGACGAAGCGUGAGUGACGGUAAUGGGUAAAGAAGCACCGGCUAACUACGUG
rnacentral:rRNA from 1 species